rnacentral:rRNA from 1 species
CACGGGUGAGUAACGCGUAUGCAACUUACCUAUCAGAGGGGGAUAGCCCGGCGAAAGUCGGAUUAAUACCCCAUAAAACAGGGGUCCCGCAUGGGAAUAUUUGUUAAAGAUUCAUCGCUGAUAGAUAGGCAUGCGUUCCAUUAGGCAGUUGGCGGGGUAACGGCCCACCAAACCGACGAUGGAUUUAGGGGUUCNNUGAGAGGAAGGUCCCCCACAUUGGUACUGAGACACGGACCAAACUCCUACGGGAGGCAGCAGUGAGGAAUAUUGGUCAAUGGCCGAGAGGCUGAACCAGCCAAGUCGCGUGAAGAAGAAGGAUCUAUGGUUUGUAAACUUCUUUUAUAGGGGAAUAAAGUGGAGGACGUGUCCUUUUUUGUAUGUACCCUAUGAAUAAGCAUCGGC